UCCUUAAAACUAAACCCUUUUUGGGUGACAUUUGGCAAUGAGUGGAGAGCUGAGCUGAUUUCUUUCCUGAAAAUAUCAUUAUUCUAGUUUCUAACCAGCAGACCAACACUGUUCACAUUAGCUGAGGACACUGACAGGAGAUCACAGGCCCUACUGAUCUGGCACCCGUAGACCUGGUGCUGGGGUCCCGUCCACAGAUCACCCUGACUCAGAACUGGAAACACACUGGGCUGGACGCUGUGCUCCACUCGUUUUGCCUAUGCAUGGUUCAGUCCUGGACGGGUGCGCAUAGCAAACAAUUGUGCCAUUGUUCAGUUUUUAGAAAAGGAUAAUUUUCUACCAAACAAAAGAAGAAAGAAAAUCCCCCUUUAGUUUAUGUAAUUUGUUAGUUUAUGGAGUUCCAUGCGCUCAAAAGCUUGUGAUGCUCAAACCUGGAAUGGUAACUGGUACAACAUUGUCUUUCUGUUUUUAAAUUUGCUAGGGGAAGGACGGUUAACAUUUUAACAGAAAAAUACCGCAAGUUAAUGCAUGUGAAAAACUCAGAAAGUCAAAGGAAAACAAACACAAGAACAACACUUAAAACAUCCCAUAAACCAUCGCAAUAUUAAAACACCACAGAAUGGCCGAAGAGGGCUCACGGUGUGCUCUGAACGAGGGUGGGUGGUGCUGAGGGGUGCUGUCCUCCACUGGCAGGCGGCUCACCACCCUGUACAAAGAAGAUUUUGCAUACUUUUUAGAGUUCUAUUCCAAGGGUAAGUGCUUCACCCAGGGUAAGGGGCCAUUAACAGUCUCUGCUGGGUUAGGAAAAUGGCGUGGGAUUCACAAAGGUGUUAAGCUGUAAACGGUAUCACUGUCCACUUGCUGAGAGCAGAUUUGGCAAAGGGUUUUCUCUGUAGGUCUUGUGUCAGUUUGAGGGUCUGCUUUGCCCACUUCCCCUUCCUCAGUGAUCCUUCAGCCUGGCACCCAGCUCUGAGAUGAGGCCUGCUUAGCACCAGUGAAGUUCCCCACGUUCAAACCAACAACAUUCUGUGUGGAGAUGAGGGAAUCAAAGUUAAAAUCCAACCCAUCAGCAUCCAUGAGUUCACUACGGAUAAUGGACUCCAUGUCACAUUCCAAGCUCCCAUUGAACAUGUCCAGGUCCAAGUCGCUGGGGAACUUCUCAUGGCCCAUGACGGGCAGGUUUGCACUAGUUGAGUACAAGGAGGAGCCUGAGAGAGAGUCCGAGAGGGUUUGCAUAGACUGGCUGACAGGAGACUGCUGCUGGUGUUUGGCUGACCCAAGGCUGCUGGACUCACUCAAGCCCAUGUUGCUGACAGAAUUCGACAAGGCACGGCUGCCACCAAGAGCGCCCUGGGUUUGGUGCUGGUGGUGGAGCAAGUUCUGAUUGACCACACUUCCCUGGUUAGGCUGGGCAGCAAAGGACAUCAUCGGAUCAUUGCGAAGCAUCACGUUCCGGCGGGAAUUCUGGGCAGACACAGCGGUGCUGGCCUGAGACAUCAAGGGGUCCGACUGUGUCAUCAUGACAUCGCUGUGGCUAAGUGAGUCCGAAGUGAGCAGGUCCUGGAGUGUCUGGUUACCAUAGUGUGACAUGGAAGAGAAGGUAGCUGGCUUGUUCUCUUGGAUGGUCUGCAUGGGAGACUGGCGUAGGGAGUUCAGAGAUGAAGGUCCAAACACCGUGCUGUUAAAGGAGCUGGUUGGGGAGCUCAGGCCCGAGCCCUUGGUGGUAUACGGGAAGCUAGAACUCCGCUGCAUGAGUCCCCCAGUGGGCGAUGGCUGGGAUGGCGGGAGCGUGAUGUUAUCCAGCAGGUCGUCCAUGAGGUUUUCAGUCAGCCCCAUCAUUCAGAUUCAUGGUGCCUGCCAUGUCAGUCAGCCGUAGCAGUUCCACCGUGCACGGCUUGCUUACUGAAGGUGACAGGCUCGCUGAGCUGCUGUAGAGCAUGGGCGAGAGAGGCGCAUCGUCGUCCUGGACUUCAUCCAACUCUGUGCUUGCCAUGAUGGGCGACAGGCGGCCACUGACUGUGCUGGCGUUAGAAUUGGUGCGUGAACGGAAGUCCGUCCACGCAUCCAGCUCAUCACUGCUGCGUGACGUGGGGCUGCCAGACCACUUGGAGAGCUGGGAGGGACUGUCGUCAGCUGAUUCGGGGGCUGUCUGCAGGGCUGCCUUCUUCUUGGCUGUGCGGCCACGGCUCUUGGUAUACUUGUUGCUAUUGUCCAUGGAGACAGCCCGCCGCCGGGGGGCUUUUCCGCUCUUCCCCCCAUCAGGGUUGAUGAUCCACCAAGAGCUCUUGCCAGUUCCCUCAUUCUGGACCCGCAUGAAUCGACUAUGCAGUGACAGGUUGUGCCGGAUGGAGUUCUUCUAGCCGGCAGAGCUGUUGCUGUUGCCCUUAUCCUUGAAGUAGGGCACGCAACUCACCAUCCACUCGUAGAUCUGGGACAGAGUGAGCCGUCUGUCCGGGGAGCUCUCGAUGGCGCGGGUGAUCAGGUCCGCGUAGGACAGGUUUCCCCAGGCGUUCCGCCGCGACGAACAUUUCCUCGGCUGCCCGGAGCCCCCAGCCGCCCCCGGCUGCGGCGGUGGCAGCGGUUGCUGAGGCUGCAGCAGCGCCUGUGUACCCCCGCUCAGCCCGCCCGCCGCGGUGGCUGGCCCAGACCCGGGGUCUUGCCCUCCGGGUGCCAGCACCCGGACCGAGUCCUCAAGGAGCAGCCCGGAGAGCUUGGCAGGGCUCGCUUGGAGCUCCGGCCUUUGCAGGGGCCACGUACAGGAUCGCGGACGGCUCUGGGGCUCGAACUCCGGGUCCAGCUCCACUUCGAGCGGAGAAAGCGGGGCCGGGGAAGCCGGUGCCUCUGCCAUCUUCGCCGCCCGCCCGGCCGCGGCUG
rnacentral:lncRNA from 1 species